GUUGCUGCUGCGACGCCGAGGACGAGCCGGCGGUCAGGCCGUCCAGCACCUUCCUGAUGUUGAAUUUCCUCAUGGUCUCGGAGGGGCUCCCCCGCAGCCCGGGAGGGGAGGCACAGGGGGUCCCCGGGCGGGGGAGACCACCCGGGGCCGAAGGCAGCUUCGACCGCGGAAACGGAGGAGUGGGAGUGUGAGGAGAAAUAUGCAAUGAUGACAUUUCCAAGAAGUGAUGGCAUCUGGCGCUAAGGACAAAGAAUGGGAUUUUGCCACAGGGAUCUUAUUCUCCCACAUGUUCUGUCUGAAGGAGAAAGUUAUCUGAGGCCUUAUAUGAUGCAAAACUUUGGACUCAAAGAAAUUAAAUCACUUGCCCAAGGUUACAUAGCUGGUGAAAUGUUGGUGCCAAAUGAACUUUUCUGGUUCUUCUGAAUAUGCCACUGUUGCUGGAGAAAUGUCACUGCUAGAGAACAGAAGACUAUUAUUCCAAAGGGUAUUUGAGACUGACUGAAUCAGGUCUGGAACAUUAUUGAAAUGAGACCCACAAAAGAAGAGAUACUGAGAUCAUUUGCUCCAGAAGAAGCUGGUUGCCAUGUCUUGAGGACAGUAAACCCUCUGGGGAGGUUCCUGUGGUAAGGAACAAGGGCUCCUGGCAAUAGCCUCUGAGUGAGCCACCUUGAAAAUGGAUUGUCCAGCCCCAGUCAAGCUUUCAGAUGACUGUAGCUCCUGCCAAUGUCUUCACCACAACCUCAUGAGAUCCCAAGCUACAACCACUCAGAACUUCAUCUUUUGGGAAGCACCAGGGAGAGCUGCCUGUGCCUGGCAGAAGCUGCCCAUGCCCCACUGAUACCCCACAGUACUUCCUGUUCUGCUUAGUACUCCUGCUUCUUUCUACAAACAACUGUGAUUCUCUACCUGGGAGCUUCCUCUGGCCACAGGAGCCUGCUCACCUGAUUGGGACACCCUAGCAGUACUGGCUCAUAGAUGGAAGGGACUUGCCUUGUCGCUGAUGAGACUUUCGACUUGGACUUUUGAGUCAAUGCUGGAAUGAGUUAAGACUUUGGGGAACUGUUGGAAGGGUGUGAUUGUGUUUUGAAUUGUGAGGACAUGAGAUUUUGAAGAGGCUAAUGGCAGCGUCCCCACCUAAAUCUCUUCUUGAAUUGUAGUUCCCAUAAUCCCCACGUGUCGUGGGGUGGAGCCGGUGGAGAUAAUUGAAUCAUGGGAACACUUUCCCCCAUGCUGUUAUUGUGAUUGUGAAUUCUCACGAGAUCUGAUGGUUGUAUAAACGCCUUCCCUCUUCGCUGGGCACUCAUUUUUCUCCUUCCUGCCACCAUGUGAAGAAGGAUAUGCUUGCUUCUUGUGCCAUGAUUACAAGAACACACUCAGAAAUUUUCUCAACACAGUUUCUAUGCAGAGAAGAGAUGUGGGACAGAUUUGAACUGCUGUCAUAUUUGUAUGAACCCAAGACAUUUUCCAAGACCAAGAGGGAUAAAGACAGCAAUUUCUAUGACUGGCAUUUUACGUGCAUGCACUGUUUCCAAGUGUUCUUGUGUUCUGUGCCUUAAACAUUCUGUGUUGCAACUUUAUGAAUUGAAUUAAAGAUAAUCCCAAGCCCCCAAUUGUCUCAAAAAGUGAAAAAGUAAAUGUUAUAGAAAGAAAAGCGGGAAAAACUUUAAGCAUGAAAUAAAAGAUGGGUUGUGAUAAAAGAGGACUGAAGAAGGAAAAGGAAUGAAAGGUUCUGCCAUCCUUCAUGGCAGCCCACUCCACUUGGUAUGAGAUACUGCUCCCUUGGCUGAAAGUUAACUGCUGUACUCCCUCCACUUUCUAUAAAUGACUCCCUGUGCCUUUCCUUCACCACACAACUCACACUCUCUUCCUUCCUAGUGAGUCCACUAAGGCUUCACUGCAUUAUUACAUUUAUUUCAUUUAGGAAAAACUGACUUUAUUUUCCUUCAAAUUGUUUUUUAUUGUUUAUAUGAGCU
rnacentral:lncRNA from 1 species